GGUUUCGUGGUGUAGCUGGUUUAUCACAUAAUCUUAACACGGUUAUGGUCCCCGGUUCGAGCCCGGGCGAAAUCA
rnacentral:tRNA from 1 species